AAACCAACAGGGAUUACCUUAGUAACGGCGAGUGAAGCGGUAAAAGCUCAAAUUUGAAAUCUGGUACUUUCAGUGCCCGAGUUGUAAUUUGUAGAAUUUGUCUUUGAUUAGGUCCUUGUCUAUGUUCCUUGGAACAGGACGUCAUAGAGGGUGAGAAUCCCGUUUGGCGAGGAUACCUUUUCUCUGUAAGACUUUUUCGAAGAGUCGAGUUGUUUGGGAAUGCAGCUCAAAGUGGGUGGUAAAUUCCAUCUAAAGCUAAAUAUUGGCGAGAGACCGAUAGCGAACAAGUACAGUGAUGGAAAGAUGAAAAGAACUUUGAAAAGAGAGUGAAAAAGUACGUGAAAUUGUUGAAAGGGAAGGGCAUUUGAUCAGACAUGGUGUUUUUGCAUGCACUCGCCUCUCGUGGGCUUGGGCCUCUCAAAAAUUUCACUGGGCCAACAUCAAUUCUGGCAGCAGGAUAAAUCAUUAAGAAUGUAGCUACUUCGGUAGUGUUAUAGCUUUUUGGAAUACUGUUAGCCGGGAUUGG
rnacentral:rRNA from 1 species